AGUUAUUAAGAUGACAAUUUUGAAUCUGUCUCUAUACCACAAAGAGCAUAGCAGUGCCUAUGGAGAAGGAAAUUAGAGGAGGUGUCUGUGGGGAUUCAAGGUCACAUGUCGAUCAUUACCAAACUGAAGCAGGUAGAUGGCUUAAACUGAAGAUUGUAAUAUGUAACCCCAUCUGACCAAGUCUUUCCAUUAGGUUUGGUUGGAAGUAAUUUGGGUGAAACAAAAGGUUCAUCUUAUACAGAGAUUAAGUUUAUAGCACUCAGCCACAAAAACUUUGUGCAAAGAUGAGCAAAAAUAAUGACUUGAUUUCAAAUGAACCAGUAGGAAGUUACAAGUUCAUUUGGUUGCAAAUGCAUAAGAUUAACAGGUAUGGGCAUAGAGAUCCAAAUUCAUCAAGUGGUACAGCAAAGAUAGAGCAAGUUAAGAUCAGCAUAUGGUUUCUCGGGCUUAAGCAAAAGGUUCUUUCUAGGUCAAUAUACUACAUUGUGCACUCCUAAAGUCCUAAUCUGCAGAGGUGGGACAAGAUGAAUAUCAGAAUAUCUUUAUUUACUACAUUGUAAUUUACUGUAUAAAAGUAUUUUACUAUUUUUGAAUCAAUUUAUUUUUUAACC